rnacentral:misc_RNA from 1 species
UCCUGGUUAACCCAGGCAGUCUCGUUAGAGUUCCCAUCCGAAAUGUUGGCAACUAACGAUAAGGGUUGCGCUCGUUGCGGGACUUAACCCAACACCUCACGGCACGAGCUGACGACAGCCAUGCAGCACCUGUGCAAAGGUCCCGAAGGAACACACCAUUUCUGGUGUUGUCCUUUGCAUGUCAAGUCUGGGUAAGGUUCUUCGCGUUGCAUCGAAUUAAACCACAUGCUCCACUGCUUGUGCGGGUCCCCGUCAAUUCUUUUGAGUUUCACCCUUGCGGGCGUACUCCCCAGGCGGCAUACUUAACGCGUUCGCUACGGCACAACCGGGGUUGAGUCCGGUUACACCAAGUAUGCAUAGUUUACGGCUAGGACUAC